CGCCCUGGACUAUUGCUAUGGAAAUAAGGAAAAUUAGGCUAAUAAUGAAGUGGGGGUAGAACAUAUAUUAAGAAAAGGGAAUAAAGUGGUUGAUUUUUUGGCUAACUUCAUUUUUAAUUUUGCAGGUACAGUAAUCUCACAAUACAAUGCAAUUCAAGAAGCUCCUGAACAAGCAAAAUCAAUAAUACUAUUGGAAAGGAAUAA
rnacentral:lncRNA from 1 species